GAUGAAGAACGUAUCGAAAUGCGAUAAGUAGUGUGAAUUGCAGAAUUCAGUGAAUCAUCGAAUCUUUGAACGCACAUUGCGCCCCAUGGUAUUCCGUGGGGCAUGCCUGUUCGAGCGUCAUUUACCCCCUCAAGCUCCGCUUGGUGUUGGGCGUCUGUCCCGCUUCGCGCGCGGACUCGCCCCAAAGGUAUUGGCAGCGGUCGUGCCAGCUUCUCGCGCAGCACAUUGCGCUUCUCGAGGCACCGGUGGGCCCGCGUCCAUCAAGCUCACCCCCCCAGUUUGACCUCGGAUCAGGUAGGGAUACCCGCUGAACUUAAGCAUAUCAAUAAGCGGAGG
rnacentral:misc_RNA from 1 species